UACAGAGGUCCCGAGCGUUGUUCGGAUUUAUUGGGCGUAAAGGGUGCGUAGGCGGCGGAGUAAGUUGGGUGUGAAAUCCCGGGGCUUAACCCGGAAAGGUCAAUCGAUACUGCGGGGCUAGAGUGCAGAAGGGGCAACUGGAAUUCUCGGUGUAGCGGUGAAAUGCGUAGAUAUCGAGAGGAACACCUGCGGCGAAGGCGGGUUGCUGGGCUGACACUGACGCUGAAGCGCGAAAGCUAGGGGAGCGAACGGG
rnacentral:rRNA from 1 species